rnacentral:lncRNA from 1 species
UUUCGAAUUAGGAAGAAAUUUUGAUGAGACUGGAUUACUGAAAAUUUGAAAGAUAAGUAUAUUUUAUUUUUAAUUUAAUUUAAUUUUACUUUAAUUACCUUGAUAACGGUAGUAAAUAUAACUACCGAAACGUUGGUUCAAAUUACGUAUUUUUUAAAAAAGUAGGUCUUCUUGUUGUUUUUUAUCGUUUUUUAAUUAUAAUAUUCGUAACAAAGUUAGGUAGGAUAUUGAAAAGAAGAAACGAGCUCAGAGAUUAAUAGAUUGAACCUCAGCUCCUAGGUAUAUAAAAAAAAUCUAUUAUACCUCAAGUAAAUUAUUGUAUUUAAAACUUAUUGAACUUAAAUUAAAUUAAGUAUAUCGAACGGUAUCGUUACAGAUUUAAGUUCAUAUUUCUUUUAAAUACGUGAAUAAGUCUAUUUUCUUCUUCUUUUCAAUUGUUGAGCGUGUGAGAUAAAAAUUUCUGAAUUGAUUUUUGCUAUAAGUGACGUAAUACCCAAUAUAAUAAGUAACUCAUUAUGAAUUCGUCACAACAAUACAGAUUUUACUUAACACGCAUUAACACGUGUUACAGAAAUAUCUAUUACAUUAUUUUAAACAGACCAGUACAUCUUAUUGUGAUGUAUCGUUAGAGCCCGACAACACGCUUAAACACACCAUGACGCGUGUUUUCGAUAUCUAAAGUGGUUAGAUUUUCAUCAGAGUGUUAUAUAGUUAUCACUACUCACCAGGCCCCGGUCGCCGCGACUUUAUUUAAUUGUGGUAUUAAAUAUGGACGAAGAAUUUAUUGAAGAAGUACGGAAGUACGAAUUUCUGUACAACGUUCAAAAUAAGGAUUACCGAGACCAAACAAAACGACAAGAGGCUUGGGAGGAAAUUGGUGGGAAAAUAAACAAAAACUGUGUUGAAGGAUCCCUAGCCCUCGAAAACCUAAUAGCGUCGAGAUCGAACUAGAAAUACAAAAAGAGUCUCGCCUCAAGUUUAGAGGAAAGAAGGCGAGGGUGAAGGAAGGAAAGUGAGUAUGAAGGCAAUGGUCAGAAAAUAAGUGUGAAAUUCUAAAAGGACCCUUUUACAAUUCCAGCAUAUCGUGUGGAAGCACGAUGGCUGCACCCAUGGAAGACGGCAAGAUAGAAAGUGGCGUGCAUAGGGCUGGGAGAUAAGAUUUUAACUCUCUUCCUGAAUAAGGAGGCAGCAAUGGCAAAGGGGGUCCAUGCAAGAAGGACUCAUGUAUUUGAUUUAAAACAGCAUUGAUGAUCGGAAUCAUCUAUACCAACGGGAAUGGAGUAAAAUUCCAUGAUCUAAAUAAUAAUCCUGGAAUACUACCGUACAAAUUAGAAAGGGACGUCGGAGAAAAAGAAUCCACAAGCAAGACACGGGAACCUACCCCUAAAACCCCCGAAGCCAGGAUGGACCCUUUAUCCAUUCAGGAGGAGGACCUGCUAAGGUCACCAGCCGCCAGCAACUCAGAAGCUGAAGUAAGCGAAAACUCCUCGACUAGGGCAGAACCAGAAGGUUUUGACCAGGCGGAAGUUAAGGCUACCAAGGCCGAAAAAUUGCUGCGACUCAAGGAAAAAAAGAAGCAUGCAAGGAACCGCAACCGCACAAAGAGGAAAGAUAGAGGAAGAAGGAGGAGCGAGAAGCCCACCAGGAGGGAUCAACAGUUCCUCCAGGACCAGCUCUGCUUCUACAUCCUCUUGUAGGAGGCAGCUCUAAGGGCACCACCAAAGCCUCGAACAGCGGGCAACACCCAAGGAGUCGCCAGCUAGUAAAAGGGCGUGGACCAAGGGCAAGAGAUGUAAGGCGAGAGGCAGAUAAGCUGAAGCCAAUCAUCCUACCCACGGCACCCGUCGCUGUCAGGGAAGAGGACACCCAGCAUCGGCGCCUCUAGCAAAAAGGGGCAAAUCAAAAAGGACACCCCACCCGACCGCCAGCAUAAGAAGCCUAGCUAACAGGGCAGGUACAUCCCUCUAAAAGAUGUGCAGACAGGCGCGUCUCCCCUCCUAAGGAGAGAUACCCAGUCAGGGCAUCCACGAGGGACAAAUGACCAACCCAGUUUCGGCUCCUAUAGCGGGGCAGUCAACAGGGCAAAUCAGGUCGUUUUUAGGUCAGACCAGAGAAGGUGGAAGGGUGACCAAAGAGGAGGCCGCCUAAGGCUCCAUCUCAUCUCUGAGAUGAGGAGGACCAAGGCUGAGCUCCACUCUCGAAACUCCGGACUCACAGAGACGGGCUGGUUUCUGGUCACGAUGGAGGACGAACCCUCAAGAGACUGGCUUUUGAGCUCCUGUCAACCACUGACCGUGGGGAGUCGCACCUUCACCGCGUGUGUUCAUUCUGUGGACAUCGGAGCGGCCAGACUUAGAGUAUGUCAGGGAAAUCCUUGAAAUACAGAAUAGGACCUUAAGCGUCCCCAGCUGGCAACACCUGAGGACGGAAGGCGAGUCUGGAAGGUCCGAGAGCUGAGUCCAAGCUUUUCGAGUGACCGUUCGGCGAACGCCCAGCACCGCAGCGGUAACCUCCAAGCCACCAGAAGGGAAGCCUUAGGCAGAUAAGAGGGCUACCCCUACACCCAUGGAUGUCCCCCAUGGCGCAAUUAGGGAAACAAAUAAGAGGACUAGGGGCCACCGGCUUCCGAUCUAGCCGGUCUUGAAGGAGAUCAGAGGCCUAGAACGUGUCUCUUAGCAUCCAGGGAGCUUCAACUAACACCUUUACCACAAGUAAGCUCCAAGGAUGCUACGGCAGCUCUGCUAGAGUACACGAUCUUAAAGUCAUCAACAAAAAGGACACUUUCCCAGCGUUUUACCACCCUUGGAUGGCUAUCAAUAGGAAUUCAAAAGAGCAACGGCCUGAAAUUACUACCCUGUGGUAUAGCAGAAACUGCAGAAAAACCCUCAGACAUUGAUUUUGCAACUUUAAAGAUCUGUUGUAGUGAGGUCAGGUAUGUUUUCAAAAUGUAGCGUUUUUACCAAUAAGAUACACUAAACACUUUUUACCGUUUUUACACACUAAACACUAUAACUUAAGACUACUAGAAAUAUUUAAUUAAACGUCUAUUUAAUUUUAAAAGUCGCGCCAAUACUCUUACUUAACCUGAAUUCCUCCUAGAAUCUAUCAGUUUUUAUUAUACAGAAGGAAUAAAAAUGAAAAUUUAUGAAAGCAAACUCAAUUUUUUUUUUAAUAACGUACAGUGAUGCUAUGAAUGCCAAUUUUAACUAUCAAAUAAUUAGUCUUAACAAUACAAAAUUUGUAUUUGAAACUCACUACAGAACAAAACUAAUAUUUGAAUUCGAAAUAUUACCUUUUUUAAUAUGUAACUUUCUAUGACACGGGAUAAAAAGGCAUUGCAUAUUUACGUAUUAGAGCAUUGGCGUGAAAUAAUAGAAGAGCGCAUAUUUCGCUGGCCUAAUUCUAAUAGCCCGUAUCUGAAAAAACGUAGUUUUAUAAAAAAUAGAAAACAUUUAUAAUUCUUAUAUUUUGAAGUAUAUUUCAUGUUUUAUUGUAUUAUUCAAUUUUUUAAAUUUUAUGUCACUUAUCUAAUAUAGGGUAAUCAAUAUUUUAAGCUUUUGUUAAUAUUUACCGCAGAUACGGGGGUAUUGAUGCGGUUAAGUUUUAAUUUUGGAAAAUUUAGAACAAUCUAAAUAAAAUAACUGGAUUAAAGAAAGACUUUAAUGGGAAAAAAUAUUACAUAUUGAACACAUCGUAAUUGACAGUCUUUAACAAAUAAGUUACAGUUAUACGCUGUAAAAUUGUACACGGUUAGUUUUUUCCUUGUAAUAUAUUGCGCUGGCGUUGAUUAGUGGGCAGUUUUUCACAGCCUGUAAAUCCAUGGUAAAUGUAUAAUUUUUUAAACAGCAGGCAUCUUUCUUGUCUUUUGAUUUUUCUUCGCGAGCAAUAUUUUUUUGCUCUAUAUGAUUGGUAUAAUCUUGUUCGUUGCGUCUUUUACUGAAUUUUGGUUACUAAAUAUAACUUACUACUGUCGUUGCGACAAUAGUGAGUUGGCAUUUUGGGAAGGCUUUAGAGCCAUGAAAUAAGAGUGGCCCCUUUUUUCUUGUUAUCUUCAUGCUUUGCUAUUGCAUGUGUAUGCCCAAUCCUCCAAUGCUACUUAGCUGGUUCUUAUUAUGACUUUAUUGAUAUUUCAACCAGGCUCCCAUACCCAGCGAAGGACCAGAAGCGGUACUCUCUAACUCGAUAAACAUAGAAAUAGACAAGAAAAUAUAUAGAAAGAAAAUAUCUUUCUAUGCGCGAUUAGCACUCGCUAACCUUUUCUCUAUGUCACUCGGCAUCGUUCGGCUUUAGACAUUCUAAUACUACCCAAUCUACAAACAUUAGCCUAUUUUUAUAGCUAAUGGGAUUUUUCACAGCCCACAAUGUCAAUUACUAAAAUGUCAUUCGACAUUAUCGAUCUUUUAAGUAAUAAGUAUGCUUUGUUAUUGUUUCUGUUUUCAUCCUAUAUCCAUAAGGGAUGCCGAUAAGGGAAAAGUUUUCUUAUAGAUUUUUGAAGUAAUAUUAGGUAUCAAUAAGACGGCGAAUUUUAUGAUGGAUCCUCCUAAUUUCAUCUUAUCUCUUUUUUCUACUGUGUAUUUAUAAUAGCUUAAUAUUUUUUUAUUUUUUCUUUUUUUAUUUAAAUAUAUUUACUAUUAAAUUUAUAUUUUAAUAUUUGUCUUAAAAUAUAGAUUUAAGAUAAUAUUGUGGGGAGGUUUUUUACUGCCCCAAUCACUUGUAGCGCUCUCCUAUGUAAGGAGAGACCUUACUUACAAAUUUAGGGAUUUAAGAAGAACUGCUCCACCAUGGGGGCCGAUUACUGCUUCACUCAACCGCCUUCAAUUUCUGCAGCGGUUUUUUGUUGUAAAGUUAAUUUAAUUCAAGAGAAAACAACAAAGUUCAAUUUUGAUUUGCUGCGAGCGUGUCUUCCAUCUUACAACUGAACGGAGACGAUACCGCGAGACGGCUUAAAGGCGACUCGCUGAGAGGUGACGAGCGACUGGCUCAAAGACGCCGCGCGGGUGGCGGUUAUUUAUAGAACAUCAAAAGGCUGGUAGCGGCAUGGUAGAAAAGCGACGUUGCCGCGGAUUCACUUAUUUUAAAUUGUGUUGAAUUUAUAGUUUUUAUCUGUUGUAGAAUUACAACAUAUUCCCCCCCCCCUUGAAGUAACUACUUCAAACAAAGAAAGUAACUGGUUAAGUUUGCAAGCACAAGAAAGAUACAUAAAUCUAGUUAAUAUUUAAGAUUACAGGGGUAGAUUUUAAAUUAAAUCAAUUCUAAACAUUAGGUCAAAACUUGGUUACAAAUUAAAGUCACUUAAAACACUUACUUCUACAUCUUUAAACUAAAAUUUUCAGGAACAUAAAAUUAUGCUAACAACAAUAUAAAUUAGGCUAACACAUUAUCUAUUCUUUAGAACACUUAACAGUCUUGGUUAGCGCCAUUAGGCAAAGGACAUAAUUUGGUAAUUGGCCUGGUGAAGGUUCCAUCUCUAGUUAACACCUUAACCACUCUGACUCUUUUGUCCUUGCCUGGUAAAAGUUCAAUUAUUCUAGCCAUAGGCCAAUGUAAAACAGGGGUAUUAUCCUCCUUUAGGAGUACUAAGUCAUUAACCUUAAGGUUGGGACAAGGAUAUAACCACUUCGGGCGAUUUUGAAGUCUGUUAAGGUAAUCUACAGACCACCUUUUCCAAAAAAUUUACCGAACGUUAGUAAUUUUUUGCCAUAAAUCUAGUCGAUUUUCGGGGACGUUUGUCACAUCAUGUUCAGCAAAUGAGGUAAGAGAUCUACCUAUUAGGAAGUGUCCAGGAGUAAGGAAUGUCAAGUCUGAGGGAUCAUUUGAUAUGGCACAGAGUGGCCGUGAAUUUAACACUGCCUCAAUUUGGGUCAUAACGGUGCUAAGUUCUUAAAAUGUGAAUUUUGUGUUCCCUACUAGUCGAAAGAGAUGGUGUUUUGCGCUUUUAACAGCGGCUUCCCAAAUACCUCCAUGGUGUGGAGAUCGAGGGGGUAUGAACUUCCAUUUAAUCUCAGAAGUUGCCAGAAAGGUUUUGAUAGUCUGAGAAACACUAUUUUUAGAGAGAAAAUCAUGAACCUCCUUGAGAUGGUUACUGGAACCUAAAAAAUUUGUUGCAUUGUCACUAAAAAUUAUCUUUGGGUUUCCUCGUCGGCUAAUAAAACGUUUCAGGGUGAGUAAAAAGGCUUCAGUUGAAAGGCUAGACACCAAUUCGAUAUGGACUACACGAGUAACCAUACAUACAAAAACAGUCAUAUAACAUUUAGUUAUUGGUGCCCUUCGAAGAUUAGAGCUCUUAAUAAAAAAUGGGCCUCCAAAAUCAAUACCUACAUUUGAAAAGGGGUGAGAGAUACACACACGUUCUCUUGGCAAGUCAGCCAUAAGUUGGGCAGCUGCUUGGGCCUUAAAGCCAAGUUAAGCAAGAGUGAAUUAUUCUUUUAAUUUCUCUAAGCCCAUCAAGAGGCCAGUACCUAAGUCGAACAUUGGAUAGAGUAUUUUGGGGUCCCGCAUGACACAAUCUUAUGUGUUCCCUUCUCAAAAGAAGUUGCACAAUAUGAGACCUUGAAGGUAAUAAUAAAGGAAAUUUCUGUUCAAUAGGAACUUCUGAGUUGCUGAGUCUACCGCCAACAUGCAGCAUUCCAUCCUUGCCAAUGAAUGGGUUUAACUUUAAAAAUGGUUUAUUUUUCAGGGGUUUCUCAUUCAAGAGUUGUUUAAUUUCGUAGAAAAAAUAUUGAUUUUGGACCAAAGCAAUUAAUUUGUUCUCAGAGUUCUUAAGCUCCUCUACUGUAAGAGAUGUGUCUUGUUCUUGAGCUAAUUUCCUACAUUUAUUAAUGAAUCUUAAACAGUACGCGAAGCUACGUUGUAGCCUUUAAAAUUUGAAAAUCUACUAGAUAAGUCAUCACAAAAGUGUUCCGUUGAAACCUUACUCAGAUGACUACAUACCUUUUCUUUGGGUGGAUUUGGAACAUUGAUUUGUACAUUAUAGGUUUCUAAGUCAAAAUUAGUAUCUUGCAAAAAAGGUGGGCCGUGCCACCAGAGAUCUGAAUUUAUCAAAUUUGAAGGUGUCAUUCCUCGAGAGAGAAUGUCCGCUGGAUUAUCCUUCGAUUUUACGUAUCUAAAGGUAUAAUUAGAGGCAACUUCUUGUAUUUUUGCUACUUUAUUAGACACAAACUGAGUCCAUCGAGAGGGAGAAGCACGAAUCCAUGCUAAUACAAUCUCAGAAUCUGUCCACAGGUUUACCGUAAAUGAAUAAGGAAUUUGCUCCUGUAGAAUAGUUACUACUCUUCUAUCAAUUUACUACACAAAAGAGCACCCAGAAGCUCCAAUCUAGGCAGUGUAAUAUUUUUUAUUGGAGACACUCUGCUUUUUGAGGAGAUAAGUAUGCAAGAUGUACAUUUAUUUAAGUAAACAACACGCAUGUAAACACAGGAGCCAUAUGCCUUUAUGCUGGCAUCUGAAAAGGAAUGAAACUCUAGUUUUAAGAUAUUGGUUUCAGUCAGUAAUGUUCGCGGUACAUUUAGACCCUUGAGAGCGGCAAAUUCUGUUAUAAACUUUAACCAUUCCUUGUGAAUAUCUGGACUUAAACAAUCAUCCCAGUCUAAUUUAGCGAUCCAUACCUUUUGCAUGAUUAUUUUUCCAAUUACUGCGAUUGGGUUGAUGAGACCAAUUGGAUCAAAAAUUUGAGCUAUUAUAGAGAGGACCUCUCUCUUUGUAUAACUAUUCUUUAUUUGGAGAUUGGGUAAGGACACUGAAAAAUAGUCACCCUUUGGAUCCCAAUAGAGUCCUAGCACCUUGUUCGAACCAUUUUCUGGAGCAAUUAUAUAAUUUUGCUCUUGUGAUGAGUUGGAAAUAUCCUUGAGAAAUAAAGUGGAGUUGGAGCACCAUUUGUGUAAAUGAAUACCAGCCAGGUUAAGAAGUUAAGUCACUUCAGAAUAAGUCUUUUUUAAUGUAUCAAGGUCAUGGGUUGAAUAGAGAAUAUCAUCCACGUAACAUGUUUUUAGGAGUGCCAUACUUCCUAGAGGAAAUUUAUUUUUAUUUAAAUUUGCCAACUCAACUAAACAACGUGUACUUAAGAAUGGUGCACAAUUUGUGCCAUAUGUCACUGUCUGAAGUUCUAGACAUUGCAAUUGUUCACAAGGAGAAUCACGCCACAGUAUAUUCAGCAAAAACGUAUGCUUAGGGUUCAUUCUGAUCUGCCUGAACAUUUUUUGAAUGUCUGCAGUGAAGGCAAACUUAAAGAGUCUAAAAUUUAAAAGAACAUCAUAGAGCUCUGGCUGAAUUGAAUAGCCUUUAAGCAUAAUGUCAUUAAGGAAGACUCCGCUGGUGGUUUUCAUGGAACCAUCAAACACUACCCGGAGUUUAGUUGUGAGAUUAUCCUCUCGUAACACACAAUGAUGUGGCAAAAAGAACUUUUUGUGAGACAAUUCAUUCGUAAGGGUAAGAGGAAUAACUUUAGCAUGCUGCAAGGAAAUGUAUUCCUCGAUAAAGGAUUUAUAGUCAGAGUAGAGCUUCUUAUUUUUACUAAGUUUUGAUUCAAGAUUCAAAAAUCUUUGUUUUGCUCUAUAAAAAGAGUCACCUAAUUUUUGAAAUUCAUUCGGAGUUUUUAAAGGUAAAUCGACUUGAAAUCUUCCAUUUGGCAAGAAAGUAGUGGUAGCCUUAAAAAUCUCUUCGGCCUUAUUUUCUAAAGCGAGUGCAGGUCUUUCUAUUUCUUCAACCUCCCAGAAUUUUUGCAUAAGAGAUUCUAUUGAGUUUUGUAUAGGGUCACAUAUUGGGCUAGUCUGAACAAAAAAUGAGAAGUUUGACAUAUCUGAAGAGUUUUCCUCAGGUUGAGUAUUGUCAUUCAGGUUCCUCUUAUAAUUCAAGGAACUUUCAGGAAGAGAUCCAGAUAUAAUAUAUCCAAAGUAAGUAUUUUGUAGGGUAGGUAAUCCCUUUCCUAACUUAAUGAGUCCAUCAAUUAAUAUUUCAUUGUAAACAUCACAACUGAGAAGUAUAUUAAUUGGACCAGGCACAGAAUAUGUCGGAUCAGCAAGCUUAAUAUUUUGAGGUAAGCUUAGUGAGCUUCUAUUUAUAUUUACUUGGGGCAAUUUUGACGUUAUUUUUGGCAAUAUUGCACAAGAGACAUCAAAAUUGAUGGUAGUGCUGUUAUGUGGAAAUAUCUUUAUGUCCACCAUCAAAUCAGACAUUGAACACUUCUCAGAAAGAGUGGAAAUUUCAAGUUUUCUUGAAUAUGAGGUAAGCUUUAAUUUAUUACAUAAAUCUUGGGUUAUAAAGGAAGUCUGACUUCCAUUGUCUAGAAGUGCCCUUGCUGUUACCGGAGUUCCAUUCUUGGUAUACAGUGUAACAAGGGUUGUGGCUAAAAGUAUAUGACCUUUUUGGCCUGUCUGAGCAAUAGCUGAGAGGCAUGAGGUUUGAUUUUCAGGCUGAAAACAUUCUAAGGGAUCUGAUAUAUCUUGUGUCGAAGAACUGGACGAAUUAGGAAUAACCACGGGAGUAUCUUCCUCCUGUUGUGUAGUUAUGUGUAAUGUUUGAGGUCUUGGACUCGAAAAACUUGCUGUUUUAGCAGGGUUUUGCGAUGAAUGAUGACUAGAGACUUGGGCGCUAUUGGAGGGGUUGUAAGAGAGAGAUGAAAUCUGAUUUCUAUUUGUCUGAGAAGCACUUGAGGGAGUACUUGUAAUAUUUCUUGUUGCUGGGUAACUUAUGUGUAAAAGGGAAUGGUGUCGACCAUUGCAGAUGCUGCACGAGACCUGGGAGCUGCAGGUCCCAACCAUAUGUUUUGUGCCUAGACAAUUUCUGCACAACUGUUGAGUUUUAGUGAAAUUAAAUCUAUCCUGUGGAGAAAUUUGUUUAAAUUUAUCACAAUGAUAUAACUUGUGAUUUGUCGCUGAACAAAAUAAGCAUUUUAAAUAUGGGCCAGUCGAGGGGCCAGUUGACCUAAAGUUUUCAGCAUUAUGUAGGGUAACCCUUGCCUUAGAUGGCUUAGAUUCUUGUUUAAAUUCAUUAAAGCUGAGCUUUUCUAAUAUUUCACAUCUUUUCCAGAAAUUCAUGAAACUGAGCAAGAGUGGGAAUUGACUUAGGACCUAUUUCAUAUUCGAAGGCUCUAUGAGUAGAAUGAUCAACCUUUUCUAAAAAUAUUUCAAUGAGAAUUAAAUCCCAGUGUUGCACUGGUACAUUCAUAUUUCUGAGGGCUUGCAGUGUUUGUUUAGACAGAGUUAAAAAAUCUCUUAAGGUCUGAGAGUUUGUCUUGACUAAAGAAGGAGCCUUCAGCAAGCGUUUAAUUAAAAUGCUAAUAACACGAGACUUAUUUUCAUACCUGUCCUUUAAUGUGUCUAAUGCUAUUUGAAAAUUAGUAUCAACAACCUCAAUGUUUUGAAUAAGAUUUAACGGUUCACCCUUGAGGUAGGAUUUUAAAUAUAUAAAUCUCUGUAAAUCCGUCAAAUCAUUAUUUUGGAUAAUGAGCGUAGAAAAUAAUUGAAUAAAUGAGUUCCAUUCAGAAAAAUUCCCAGUAAAUGGGUUUAUUGACAGUUGAGGUAGUUUGACACUUGAUGAAGCUGGUGAAUUACCAAUUUCAGUGUUUCUACUAGAACUAUUCACUAUAGUAGUAGAAGAACCAGAUCUUGAAGAGGUGUGCGCAUAAAUUUUAUCUUUUAUUAAAGUAAGGGUUGUGACAUACUUUGCCUCCCACUCGUCUACUUCUGUGGAAAUUAAAGUACUGUCAAAUUGCUCAAGUUCUUGUUGAAUUUGUUCAUAAUCAUUAAAAUAAGAGAUUAAUUGCUCCUUUUUUAUUUCAAGAGUACUGAUCGAGUCACAGUCUGGGUUUUGCAGCACCCAGUUAUAAGCACGAGUGAUUCUAGCCUUUAAACUAGCCAGUCUUUUAUUUGCACCCACUGUCAAGUCUAGUGCUUCUGCACUUUCCCUAGGUUCUGUCAUUGUGAAUUUGAUAUACUAUAUAUUAAAUAUAGAGAACUGAGAUAAGAUAAAACGGUAAAUAAAACAUAUAAUUAGGUUAAAACCUAGUUAAACUUUACAAAUUAUGAGAACCGAGUGGUUUUUGUUUACAUGAGUAGUUAUUGUAAACCAGUUUACAGUUUUAGAUUGAGUCAGAGCUACCUUCAGCUAUACUUAGCUAAGAGAUUUAUUUAGAGCACCUUAUUAAACCGAGAUUAAAACCUUAUUUUUUGCACAUGCACAAAUUUAACACAAUAGUUUAUAGCAGAGUUAUUAUCCUUAUGAAUCCAAAAGAGUAUUUACAAAGAGUUUGGAACGAACUUACCAAUAAGUCCUUGAGAACGCGAGCACUAACCGAGCACUACGCAUUAACUAGCGAUUUGCGAUUUUCCGUACAAUUUUUUGUCCACUUGGUAAACUUAAUUUAAAUGAGAGAGUACUUGGUACUGGGAGAUUUGGUUACCAAUCCACUCUAGGAGAGACCCAGAACAUUAGGAGGAACCAGGAACUUUAAACAGGAAACAGCAGCAAUCUUUACAAUAUAAACUGAGUGAAGUCGAUGAAUAUAUCCGAGCUCGUAGGACCAACAAAUUUGGGGAGGUUGUUUACUGCCCCAAUCACUUGUAGCGCUCUCCUAUGUAAGAAGAGACCUUACUUACAAAUUUAAGGAUUUAAGAAGAACUGCUCCACCAUGGAGGCCGAUUACUGCUUCACUCAACCGCCUUCAAUUUCUGCAGCGGUUUUUUGUUGUAAAGUUAAUUUAAUUCAAGAGAAAACAACAAAGUUCAAUUUUGAUUUGCUGCGAGCGUGUCUUCCAUCUUACAACUGAACGGAGACGAUACCGCGAGACGGCUUAAAGGCGACUCGCUGAGAGGUGACGAGCGACUGGCUCAAAGACGCCGCGCGGGUGGCGGUUAUUUAUAGAACAUCAAAAGGCUGGUAGCGGCAUGGUAGAAAAGCGACGUUGCCGCGGAUUCACUUAUUUUAAAUUGUGUUGAAUUUAUAGUUUUUAUCUAUUGUAGAAUUACAACAAAUAUUAUUAUUAAUUUUGCCUUAGAAAUGGAAGAGAAAGAACAAACGAUUGAAUUAAGGAUAAAAGGAUUAUAUAUAUAUAGUAUUUUCAAAAUUUGUGAAAAGUAAUAAAACCCAUUUUAUUCCCUUCUGUGGAAUCACUGGGAAUUUCCCAAUUUCGGGGCGUAAAUAAGCGUGGAUAAACUAUAUGACCUUAUAAACUUAAUGAUCGUUUUAAACCUGAAAAAAGUAGUUAACAAAUUAUAGUUCACUUAAAGAUAUGCCGUUGAUCUUUUGACCGCAAUAAAAGCCUAAUUAUCUGUUGUAACCUAAUGGUUUAACAUUUUCUAAUAAAAUACUAUUCUUUAUUCUUUUAA